rnacentral:rRNA from 1 species
GACGAACGCUGGCGGCGUGCUUAACACAUGCAAGUCGAACGGAGUGGCGGACGGGUGAGUAACGCGUAAUCAACCUGCCCUUCAGAGGGGGACAACAGUUGGAAACGACUGCUAAUACCGCAUACUGAAGGAGGGGAUUGCGUCUGAUUAGCUAGUUGGAGGGGUAACGGCCCACCAAGGCGAUGAUCAGUAGCCGGUCUGAGAGGAGGACAGGCCACAUUGGGACGGAGACACGGCCCAGAAUCCUACGGGAGGCAGCAGUGGGGAAUCUUCCGCAAUGGACGAAAGUCUGACGGAGCAACGCCGCGUGAGUGAUGACGGCCUUCGGGUUGUAAAGCUCUGUUAAUCGGGACGCGGUACCGGAAUAGAAAGCCACGGCUAACUACGUGCCAGCCGCCGCGGUAAUAC